AUGAUGCCGGUAGCCGUGAGGAAAAGGAGCUGGGAGGAGCAAUACAGCUAUGAUGACCUGGACCUGGUGUGCUGCCAUGAACUGGGCAGGAAGGGAUCCUGGGUGACUGUGGGGCCCAAACAGGGACGGAGAACACGGUGUGCAUCCAUGCCGGAAGGAUGCCCUCAUGAGCCAACAGAGGUCAGGAGUCAAACUGUGAUAGUAGCCGCUCCCAUCGACUGUCUUCAGGUUAAUUGUGGUUUGCCGGAGGAAUCUAAAAAGUACAUUUCUGAGACCAGAUGUAUCCAAACACAGGAACUGGAGAAUGAGCAAAACUGUGGGAUCCCCAGCACAAAUAUUACUCAUGCAACUGAUAGCAGAGCUCCCACCGAGAGAAUAGCUAUCGGUGAUGUUGAGAGUAGAGAGGGUUAUCACCUCGGGACUCAUGAAAACGUGUUAAAAAGUCCACUCUCGUGUGAAGAGCAACAAUGCUUCAGUAUCCAUUCAAACAAUGAGUACACACUCUGUGCUGCUGAUGGCCCUGGCUCGUCUCCAAAUCAACAGGAAACAAAAGAGACCCAUACAACAAGGCACGGCAUUGCACCUCAAAUCUCUGACGCGACAGUAAGUCAGACAGCUAGCCUCCCACAUGUAGAAGAUGCUCAUCAUAUCCCCGAAUUGGAUGUUGCAACAUUGCCUGGUAAAGGGCCGGAGAGUUCAGCUGUCAUGGAGAGCGGUGGUGCCUCAUCACGUACUCGUGAAACAGCGGUGGGUGUUGUGAUGCGGGCGGCAGAAGAGGAACAAUGUGACAAAGGACCAAGUCAAAUCUUGAGGCAGGAUUGUGCUGACAGGCGAGAUGGACCAGAUGACCCAGGACGACACCUGAUCGAAAAUAAAGACCAUCAUUUAAAAAACAUUCAAGCUGAAGGGGAGGAUUGUCAAGAGAAAAGUGAACCAUUGGCCGGAGCUCCAAAUGGUGCAAUAGCCAACCAGAUGUUAUUGCAACAGCAGGCUAGCACAAUGGGCUGGCUAAAUGAAGAGAAAAGUGAAGAAUGUUCAACAGAGCCAGUGAUUUGUGAUAUUUUAACCACCAAUGAGAAAGAUGUCAAUGUAUCUAGGCAGCAUCCAUUAGAGGAGCCAACACUUACGAGCACUAUUUGGUGCGCAAAUGCAAAACAAUUAACAAACGAUUGUACUAUAAAUUCAGUGGUAGGGAAAGUUGUGGACCAAAUCACAUGUCAUCCAGAAAAUAACCCCUCUCAGUUAGACACUAUUCCAGAAGCUGCUAAUGUUGAAGCAGAGGCCAAGAAGAGAUUGAAUUUAGCUGCUCUCGAGCCCGUCCCUAAUAGUCCGACUGAGGCAAAACAGAACCAAGAGCCGCAGAUGUCUCUCGCAGAGGUCAGCGAGGAGAUCGUCCCCGCCGGUCGCCAUGGCAGCCGAGACUCUGGUCACCAGCGCUGUGACUCACCUGCGGCCGAGGUGGUAGAGGUGACAGAUGGUCCCAGGGAACAACACACGACUCUGGACGCAGCCAGCGCAAUGAAAGCAGCCAAUGAGGACGCGCACACGGCUGGUCAAGGUUUAAACGCAUCAAAGGAAGAUGGCGCGGUCAAAGUGCGUGUAAGAAAGGUAAGGAAACAGUACCAUAUGUAUUUACAGUUACGUGAUAAGACAUAUUGA
ensembl:lncRNA